rnacentral:misc_RNA from 1 species
UUAAGUUCAGCGGGUCUUCCUACCUGAUCCGAGGUCAACCUUGGGUAAAUAAGGCUUUUAACGGCCGGAACCCGCAGCACUCCCAGAGCGAGAUGUAUUACUACGCUCGGGGUGACAGCGAGCCCGCCACUGGUUUCAGGGCCUGCGGGCAGCCGCAGGACCCCAACACAAGCAGGGCUUGAUGGUUGAAAUGACGCUCG